CCUGGCGGCCGUAGCGCGGUGGUCCCACCUGACCCCAUGCCGAACUCAGAAGUGAAACGCCGUAGCGCCGAUGGUAGUGUGGGGUCUCCCCAUGUGAGAGUAGGGAACCGCC
rnacentral:rRNA from 1 species